GUUAGAUCCACCCUUUCUUUUAAUUCAUACACAUGUACAUAUACCCUUAGGGCAGUACUUGAUCAUGAGUUGGUCAGUGGAUAUUUGUGAUCUUGGUUUUUAUUGGUUGUUUGUGUCAGGUUGAAUUUGGUUGGUUUGUAUAUUUUGCUUUAUGUGUUUUACCGCCAAGUUUGACAAUCUUUGUCUGGACAUUGACCAAAGCAGACUAUAUAUUUAUAUAGAGAAGUAAUUUAAUUUUGGACCAGACCUUGCUCUUUUUCUGGUAAGUUAUACUAAGUAUACUAAUAUCCUAUAACACUUACUAUUAAUAAAUUGAUUAUCCUAUAAAUUGCAGAAAACAUUAAUUCAGUCCAUGAUCACAAACUAAUGAGUAUGAAUGAAUUAGAAUGAAAAGAUAUUUUUUAUAUGGAAUACAGUGUUGAUUAUAAAGAUCAAUAUUUGGUUUAUUUAUUAUAGUAUUAAUUGAUUCUCAAAUCAAUUGUAUAUAAGAAUUUUAUGAUGAUCAGAUAUUUGAUUAAAUUGGUCAUUUAUAAGAUCAAUUAGAUUAUAUUUCAGUAAUAAAUAUUUUUAGAAUUAUUUUGUUCGAAUUACAGAAUCAGUCAAUGUCAAUUUAAUCUCACCACGCAAUCGGUGUACGUAUUAUGAGCCUGUUCCCAUAGAAUGGGCUUAAAUAUACAUUGCAAAUUUUAAAGUCACUGUGUCCGGAUACGAAUAAACGAACCAUACAGAUA